rnacentral:rRNA from 1 species
CUCGUAGGUGGCCAACUAAGUCAGACGUGAAAUCCCUCGGCUUAACCGGGGAACUGCGUCUGAUACUGGAUGGCUUGAGUUUGGGAGAGGGACGCGGAAUUCCAGGUGUAGCGGUGAAAUGCGUAGAUAUCUGGAGGAACACCGGUGGCGAAGGCGGCGUCCUGGACCAACACUGACACUGAGGAGCGAAAGCCAGGGGGAGCAAAACGG